rnacentral:rRNA from 1 species
UACGAAGGGGGCUAGCGUUGCUCGGAAUCAUUGGGCGUAAAGGGUGCGUAGGUGGUGCGGUAAGUCGGGUGUGAAAUCUCGGGGCUUAACUCCGAAACUGCAUUCGAUACUGCCGUGCUUGAGGACUGGAGAGGAGACUGGAAUUUACGGUGUAGCGGUGAAAUGCGUAGAUAUCGUAAGGAAGACCAGUGGCGAAGGCGGGUCUCUGGACAGUUCCUGACGCUGAGGCACGAAGGUCAGGGGAGCAAACAGG